rnacentral:rRNA from 1 species
GAUGAACGCUGGCGGCGUGCCUAAUACAUGCAAGUCGAGCGAACGGACGAGAAGCUUGCUUCUCUGAUGUUAGCGGCGGACGGGUGAGUAACACGUGGAUAACCUACCUAUAAGACUGGGAUAACUUCGGGAAACCGGAGCUAAUACCGGAUAAUAUUUUGAACCGCAUGGUUCAAAAGUGAAAGACGGUCUUGCUGUCACUUAUAGAUGGAUCCGCGCUGCAUUAGCUAGUUGGUAAGGUAACGGCUUACCAAGGCAACGAUGCAUAGCCGACCUGAGAGGGUGAUCGGCCACACUGGAACUGAGACACGGUCCGGACUCCUACGGGAGGCAGCAGUAGGGAAUCUUCCGCAAUGGGCGAAAGCCUGACGGAGCAACGCCGCGUGAGUGAUGAAGGUCUUCGGAUCGUAAAACUCUGUUAUUAGGGAAGAACAUAUGUGUAAGUAACUGUGCACAUCUUGACGGUACCUAAUCAGAAAGCCACGGCUAACUACGUGCCAGCAGCCGCGGUAAUACGUAGGUGGCAAGCGUUAUCCGGAAUUAUUGGGCGUAAAGCGCGCGUAGGCGGUUUUUUAAGUCUGAUGUGAAAGCCCACGGGCUCAACCGUGGAGGGUCAUUGGAAACUGGAAAACUUGAGUGCAGAAGAGGAAAGUGGAAUUCCAUGUGUAGCGGUGAAAUGCGCAGAGAUAUGGAGGAACACCAGUGGCGAAGGCGACUUUCUGGUCUGUAACUGACGCUGAUGUGCGAAAGCGUGGGGAUCAAACAGGAUUAGAUACCCUGGUAGUCCACGCCGUAAACGAUAAGUGCUAAGUGUUAGGGGGUUUCCGCCCCUUAGUGCUGCAGCUAACGCAUUAAGCACUCCGCCUGGGGGGUACGACCGCAAGGUUGAAACUCAAAGGAAUUGACGGGGACCCGCACAAGCGGUGGAGCAUGUGGUUUAAUUCGAAGCAACGCGAAGAACCUUACCAAAUCUUGACAUCCUUUGACAACUCUAGAGAUAGAGCCUUCCCCUUCGGGGGACAAAGUGACAGGUGGUGCAUGGUUGUCGUCAGCUCGUGUCGUGAGAUGUUGGGUUAAGUCCCGCAACGAGCGCAACCCUUAAGCUUAGUUGCCAUCAUUAAGUUGGGCACUCUAAGUUGACUGCCGGUGACAAACCGGAGGAAGGUGGGGAUGACGUCAAAUCAUCAUGCCCCUUAUGAUUUGGGCUACACACGUGCUACAAUGGACAAUACAAAGGGCAGCGAAACCGCGAGGUCAAGCAAAUCCCAUAAAGUUGUUCUCAGUUCGGAUUGUAGUCUGCAACUCGACUACAUGAAGCUGGAAUCGCUAGUAAUCGUAGAUCAGCAUGCUACGGUGAAUACGUUCCCGGGUCU